GAACUGCUUGGUUUCGAAAUUGAAAGGCGGCUUCUGCUGUCACUUAUGGAUGGACCCGCGUCGCAUUAUCUAGUUGGUGAGGUAACGGCUCACCAAGGCAACGAUGCGUAUCCGACCUGAGAGGGUGAUCGGCCACACUGGGACUGAGACACGGCCCAGACUCCUACGGGAGGCAGCAGUAGGGAAUCUUCCGCAAUGGACGAAAGUCUGACGGAGCAACGCCCCGUGAGUGAUGAAGGCUUUCGGGUCGUAAAACUCUGUUGUUAGGGAAGAACAAGUGCUAGUUGAAUAAGCUGGCACCUUGACGGUACCUAACCAGAAAGCCACGGCUAACUACGUGCCAGCAGCCGCGGUAAUACGUAGGUGGCAAGCGUUAUCCGGAAUUAUUGGGCGUAAAGCGCGCGCAGGUGGUUUCUUAAGUCUGAUGUGAAAGCCCACGGCUCAACCGUGCAGGGUCAUUGGAAACUGGGAGACUUGAGUGCAGAAGAGGAAAGUGGAAUUCCAUGUGUAGCGGUGAAAUGCGAAGAAUCUGGAAUUCCA
rnacentral:rRNA from 1 species